AGGGCAACGCCGGAUCCUGGGCUGUGUCCCCUGCACCUUGGGCUCCGGGGCCUGCACUCUUGGAAUCGCGCUCCAGGGGCUGCGCAGCCCCCU
rnacentral:pre_miRNA from 1 species